rnacentral:rRNA from 1 species
CUAACUACGUGCCAGCAGCCGCGGUAAUACGUAGGGCGCAAGCGUUGUCCGGGAAUUAUUGGGCGUAAAGAGCUCGUAGGCGGUUUGUCGCGUCUGCUGUGAAAUCCCGAGGCUCAACCUCGGGCUUGCAGUGGUACGGGCAGACUAGAGUGCGGUAGGGGAGACUGGAAUUCCUGGUGUAGCGGUGGAAUGCGCAGAUAUCAGGAGGAACACCGAUGGCGAAGGCAGGUCUCUGGGCCGCAACUGACGCUGAGGAGCGAAAGCAUGGGGAGCGAACAGGAUUAGAUACCCUGGUAGUCCAUGCCGUAAACGUUGGGCACUAGGUGUGGGGCUCAUUCCACGAGUUCCGUGCCGCAGCUAACGCAUUAAGUGCCCCGCCUGGGGAGUACGGCCGCAAGGCUAAAACUCAAAGGAAUUGACGGGGGCCCGCACAAGCGGCGGAGCAUGCGGAUUAAUUCGAUGCAACGCGAAGAACCUUACCAAGGCUUGACAUACACCGGAAACAGCCAGAGAUGGUUGCCCCGUAAGGUCGGUGUACAGGUGGUGCAUGGUUGUCGUCAGCUCGUGUCGUGAGAUGUUGGGUUAAGUCCCGCAACGAGCGCAACCCUCGUCCCAUGUUGCCAGCGGGUUAUGCCGGGGACUCAUGGGAGACUGCCGGGGUCAACUCGGAGGAAGGUGGGGAUGACGUCAAAUCAUCAUGCCCCUUAUGUCUUGGGCUUCACGCAUGCUACAAUGGCCGGUACAAAGGGCUGCGAUACCGUAAGGUGGAGCGAAUCCCAAAAAGCCGGUCUCAGUUCGGAUUGGGGUCUGCAACUCGACCCCAUGAAGUCGGAGUCGCUAGUAAUCGCAGAUCAGCAACGCUGCGGUGAAUACGUUCCCGGGCCUUGUACACACCGCCCGUCAAGUCACGAAAGUCGGUAACAC